rnacentral:rRNA from 1 species
CNUGGCUCAGAUUGAACGCUGGCGGCAGGCCUAACACAUGCAAGUCGGACGGUAGCACAGAGGAGCUUGCUCCUUGGGUGACGAGUGGCGGACGGGUGAGUAAUGUCUGGGGAUCUGCCCGAUAGAGGGGGAUAACCACUGGAAACGGUGGCUAAUACCGCAUAACGUCGCAAGACCAAAGAGGGGGACCUUCGGGCCUCUCACUAUCGGAUGAACCCAGAUGGGAUUAGCUAGUAGGCGGGGUAAUGGCCCACCUAGGCGACGAUCCCUAGCUGGUCUGAGAGGAUGACCAGCCACACUGGAACUGAGACACGGUCCAGACUCCUACGGGAGGCAGCAGUGGGGAAUAUUGCACAAUGGGCGCAAGCCUGAUGCAGCCAUGCCGCGUGUAUGAAGAAGGCCUUCGGGUUGUAAAGUACUUUCAGCGGGGAGGAAGGCGAUGCGGUUAAUAACCGCGUCGAUUGACGUUACCCGCAGAAGAAGCACCGGCUAACUCCGUGCCAGCAGCCGCGGUAAUACGGAGGGUGCAAGCGUUAAUCGGAAUUACUGGGCGUAAAGCGCACGCAGGCGGUCUGUUAAGUCAGAUGUGAAAUCCCCGGGCUUAACCUGGGAACUGCAUUUGAAACUGGCAGGCUUGAGUCUUGUAGAGGGGGGUAGAAUUCCAGGUGUAGCGGUGAAAUGCG